rnacentral:rRNA from 1 species
UACAGAGGUCUCAAGCGUUGUUCGGAUUCAUUGGGCGUAAAGGGUGCGUAGGCGGCGCGGUAAGUCGGGUGUGAAAUCUCCACGCUCAACGUGGAGGCGCCACCUGAAACUGCCGUGACUCGAGUCCGGUAGGGGAGUGUGGAAUUCCUGGUGUAGCGGUGAAAUGCGCAGAUAUCAGGAGGAACACCAGUGGCGAAGGCGGCACUCUGGGCCGGUACUGACGCUGAGGAGCGAAAGCGUGGGGAGCGAACAGG